UAGAAAUUUAGCCUGGAAUCUGUCC
rnacentral:piRNA from 1 species